UACGUAGGGGGCAAGCGUUGUCCGGAUUCAUUGGGCGUAAAGAGCGUGUAGGCGGCCUGGAAGGUCAGCUGUGAAAACUCGAGGCUCAACCUCGAGACGUCGGUUGAAACCACCUGGCUAGAGUCCGGAAGAGGAGUGUGGAAUUCCCGGUGUAGCGGUGAAAUGUGCAGAUAUCGGGAAGAACACCCGUGGCGAAGGCGGCACUCUGGGACGGUACUGACGCUGAGACGCGAAAGCGUGGGGAGCGAACAGG
rnacentral:rRNA from 1 species